rnacentral:rRNA from 1 species
UACGUAGGGGGCUAGCGUUGUCCGGAAUGAUUGGGCGUAAAGCGUCCGCAGGUGGCUUUGUAAGUCUGCUGUUAAAGAGUGAGGCUCAACCUCAUAAGAGCAGUGGAAACUACAAGGCUAGAGUACGUUCGGGGCAGAGGGAAUUCCUGGUGUAGCGGUGAAAUGCGUAGAGAUCAGGAAGAACACCGGUGGCGAAAGCGCUCUGCUAGGCCGUAACUGACACUGAGGGACGAAAGCUAGGGGAGCGAAUGGG